rnacentral:rRNA from 1 species
GAUGAACGCUGGCGGCGUGCUUAAUACAUGCAAGUCGAGCGAAUGGAUUAAGAGCUUGCUCUUAUGAAGUUAGCGGCGGACGGGUGAGUAACACGUGGGUAACCUGCCCAUAAGACUGGGAUAACUCCGGGAAACCGGGGCUAAUACCGGAUAACAUUUUGAACCGCAUGGUUCGAAAUUGAAAGGCGGCUUCGGCUGUCACUUAUGGAUGGACCCGCGUCGCAUUAGCUAGUUGGUGAGGUAACGGCUCACCAAGGCAACGAUGCGUAGCCGACCUGAGAGGGUGAUCGGCACCACUGGGACUGAGACACGGCCCAGACUCCUACGGGAGGCAGCAGUAGGGAAUCUUCCGCAAUGGACGAAAGUCUGACGGAGCAACGCCGCGUGAGUGAUGAAGGCUUUCGGGUCGUAAAACUCUGUUGUUAGGGAAGAACAAGUGCUAGUUGAAUAAGCUGGCACCUUGACGGUACCUAACCAGAAAGCCACGGCUAACUACGUGCCAGCAGCCGCGGUAA